rnacentral:precursor_RNA from 14 species
GGAACAGGACGAUGAUGCUGGCAUCGGUGCUGGGGAGCGGCCCCCGGGCGGGCCUCUGCUCUGGCCCCUCCUGGGGCCCGCACUCUCGUUCCGGGCCCGCUCCACCUCCAUCUCUGACA